AUGAACAGGAAGGAUUUUCCUUCUUUAAAGAAGAUCCCAGCCCUGGGAGGCUUCCCAGGCGGUGCUAGUGGAAAAGAACCUGCCUGCCAGUGCAGAAGAUGUAAGAGACAGAAAUUCAGUCUUUGGGUCAGGAAGAUCCUGUGGAGGAGGGCAUGGCAACCCAGUCCAGUAUUCUUGCCUGGAGAAUCCCAGGGACAGAGGAAUCUAGUGGGCUACAGUCCAGGUGGUCGCACAGAGGGUGCCUCACAUAACCUGGCAUGCCAUCACACACCAUUGCACACUCUUGCGUGUCCUCCCAUGCCCUUGCACACUCUCACAUGGACUCGCAUGCUCUUUAUGCCCUCACACUUGCUCACCCACUCUUGCACAUCCUUGCACGCCCUCACACAGGGUUGCACAUCCUCACACUUCCUCGCACACCCUUGCAAGCCUUCACAUGCCCUUGAACAUCCUCACAUGCUCUUGAACAUCCUCACAUGCUCUCACACGCCCUCACACACACUUGCACACCCUCACACAUCCUCUCAUGCCCUCAGAUGCCCUCAAAUGCUCUCGUACUCACAUGUGUAUCUCACACAGACACACACGUUGCAUGCACUUGCACAUCCUAGCAUGUCCUCCCAUGACCUAACAUGUCUUCAAACGCCCUCGCACACACCUUCAUGCCCUCGUGUCCUCUUACACAUUAUUGAACAGUCUCGCACAUCCUUGUGCACCCUCACAUGCCCUUGCAUACACUCCCACACCCUCACACAUCUUCAUACACCAUCAAAUGCUUUCACAUGCACAUGCACACUCUUGCACAGCCACACACUUCCUUGCAUGCCCUUGCACACACUUGCAUGCCUUAACACCUUUCCCCAUGCCCUAGCACAUCCUCAAACGUCCACACACACCCCUGCACACCCUCUUGCUCUCUUGCACAUUGUCAAAUGCUCUCACACAUCCUCACACACCAUCCCACGACCUUGCAUGCUAUUGCAUGGCAGUGCACACCCUUGCAUGUCCUCGUAUGCUCUUUCAUGCUCUCCCUUGCACUCACAAACCCUCACACACUGUCACACAGCCUUGCACCCUCUUGCAAAUCCUCGCACGUUCUCACACACUCUCUCCAGCUCUUCCACGCCCUUAUCCACUGUCACACGUUCUCACACACCCUUACAUACUUUUUCAUGUCCUCGCACACACUUGCACACCUUCACAUUCUCUUUCAUGUACUCACACACAUUUGCACAUCCUCGCAUGCUCUCGGAUGACCUGACUCACCCUCACAUGCCUGUAUAUGCCCUAGCAUGCCCUCGCCCAUGCUCACACAUCCUUACAUGCUCUCACACGUCCUUGCAUGCCUUCACAUGCCUGCACAAACCCUAA
rnacentral:lncRNA from 1 species